rnacentral:rRNA from 1 species
GAUGAACGCUGGCGGCGUGCCUAAUACAUGCAAGUCGAGCGAACAGACGAGAAGCUUGCUCCUCUGACGUUAGCGGCGGACGGGUGAGUAACACGUGGAUAACCUACCUAUAAGACUGGGAUAACUUCGGGAAACCGGAGCUAAUACCGGAUAAUAUUUUGAACCGCAUGGUUCAAAAGUGAAAGACGGUUUUGCUGUCACUUAUAGAUGGAUCCGCGCCGCAUUAGCUAGUUGGUAAGGUAACGGCUUACCAAGGCAACGAUGCGUAGCCGACCUGAGAGGGUGAUCGGCCACACUGGAACUGAGACACGGUCCAGACUCCUACGGGAGGCAGCAGUAGGGAAUCUUCCGCAAUGGGCGAAAGCCUGACGGAGCAACGCCGCGUGAGUGAUGAAGGUCUUCGGAUCGUAAAACUCUGUUAUUAGGGAAGAACAAAUGUGUAAGUAACUGUGCACGUCUUGACGGUACCUAAUCAGAAAGCCACGGCUAACUACGUG